UAGGGAAUUUUGCGCAAUGGGGGAAACCCUGACGCAGCAACACCGCGUGAAUGUUAAGCCCUUCGGGGUGUAAAGUUCUGUCAGUGGGGAAGAAUAGAUGACUGUACCCACAAAGGAAGCACCGGCUAACUCCGUGCCAGCAGCCGCGGUAAUACGGGGGGUGCAAGCGUUGUCCGGAAUCAUUGGGCGUAAAGCGUUCGUAGGCGGCAAGAUAAGUCAGAUGUUAAAGCCCGAGGCUCAACUUCGGUUCGGCAUUUGAUACUGUCUAGCUUGAAUGUGGUAGAGGUAAAGGGAAUUCCUGGU
rnacentral:rRNA from 1 species